rnacentral:rRNA from 1 species
AUUGAACGCUGGCGGCAGGCCUAACACAUGCAAGUCGAGCGGAUGAAGGGAGCUUGCUCCUGGAUUCAGCGGCGGACGGGUGAGUAAUGCCUAGGAAUCUGCCUGGUAGGGGGGGAUAAGGGUGGGAAACGGGCGCUAAUACCGCAUACGUCCUGAGGGAGAAAGUGGGGGAUCUUCGGACCUCACGCUAUCAGAUGAGACUAGGUCGGAUUAGCUAGUUGGUGGGGUAAAGGCCUACCAAGGCGACGAUCCGUAACUGGUCUGAGAGGAUGAUCAGUCACACUGGAACUGAGACACGGUCCAAACUCCUACGGGAGGCAGCAGUGGGGAAUAUUGGACAAUGGGCGAAAGCCUGAUCCAGCCAUGCCGCGUGUGUGAAGAAGGUCUUCGGAUUGUAAAGCACUUUAAGUUGGGAGGAAGGGCAGUAAGUUAAUACCUUGCUGUUUUGACGUUACCAACAGAAUAAGCACCGGCUAACUUCGUG